rnacentral:lncRNA from 1 species
GAUAGUUCAACGGUGGAAAUGAAAAACUGAUAUAGUUGGGAUCUAUUUGAAACAUUAACUGCAUUAAAAAACAAAAAAGUGAAAAAUUAAUUAACUAGAAUAAUAUUUAUAUCAAUCUAGACUAUAAAAUGGUGCUGAGUACAAGGAAUGCGACGAGAGUUGUCGGGAUAAUGAAAUAUAUAUUCCCGUUUAUCCGGUCUAUCCACGUUCAUUUUGUUUUGUAAGACUUUUAUUUUCCUUUUCAUUUUAUUUGGGUCUAUUUUUUAAUUAACGACUAUAUAAUGUCCUUUCCACAUUGCUAUUAUAAUAUUGAGUUGAAUGCCAAAUUAUACAUUCUCACUUAGUGAAGGAAAAAAUAUUUAAGAAAAUAAAAAAUUAAAAAAAUUAUUUUUUUCAUGUAAAUGUAUAAAUAUACCUUUAACAAUUUAUUUAAAAAAAAUAAAAAAAUUACCCCCUCCUCCCCCCAAAUAUGUUGACCUUCCCCUAGCUCCCCCUCCCUUCGAGGUACCGCCGCCGCCGCCGCCAUCUCCCCUUCGCGGCACUUCCAAGUUCUUCUCUGAGGUUAAUGUGGCUGACAAUCUCCAGUCAUCACUAAAGGUGGAUGACUAUGUGGUCGAACAAGUUGAACCUGAAAGCUCAACACGCAACCACGACUCUAUUUUCCUUGCGAAUUUGAAAGAUCCUGGAAAUUGGGGAAAUGUUGAUCAAAAGACAAUGGAUUACUUAGUUGAAAACUUGAAAUGAGUCCUCAAAAAGUUGAAGGCAUAGUGUAUCCUGUCAAUGAAAAUGGUAGGCACUUAAUUUGAUUCAUCAUAGUAUACAAGGAUAUUGCCAAAUGGACAAAAAUAUGAUCGAAGAUGGCUAGUUUAUUCAACUACUUUGGACCUAAUCUUUUAUUUUUGUCGUAAGUUGUUUAUAACUCAACAAACAGUCAAUAAGAUCGGGAUGCUAGCUACUGAGGGAUUGUGCAACUACAAAUUGAUAAGGAAAAACAACAUUGGAAAAAAGUGUUGAGAAGAAUAAUUAUAAUUGUGAAGCGACUAGCUAAAAACAAUUUACCUUUUCAAGGAGAUAGUGGAAAACUUUUUGUUGAGAAUAAUGGCUUGUUUUUGCAAAUGAUAGAAAUGAUGGUCGAGGUUGAUCCAGUACUACAGGAGCAUGCACGGCGAGCUGAAGCACAUGAAAUAAGGUGUACAUACUUCAGUCAUAAAAUUCAAAAUAAAUUUAUACAGCUUUUAGCAGGUGAAGUUAGAAGUGUGAUACUAAAAAAUGUGAAACAUGCAAAAUAUUAUUCAAUCAUACUUUACUGUACUCCAGAUGCAAGCCAUGAGGAACAUGUGUCUUUAGUUAUACGAUGUGUGGAUGAUUCCACAAACUUACCAACUUUAGAAGAAUUUUGGAUUGAAUUUUUGAAGGUGGAUGAUACUACCGAACUCGGACUUUCAACAGAGUUAAUCAAUACACUUGAAAAACUUGAUCUGGAUGUGAAUGAUAUAAGAGGUCAAGGAUAUGACAAUGGAUCAAACAUGAGUGGAAGACAUAAAGGUGUACAAAGAAGAUUAAUCGAGUUGAAUCCAAGAGCAUUUU